rnacentral:rRNA from 1 species
GAAGAGGAGCCUGCGGCGGAUUAGCUAGUUGGUAGGGUAACGGCUUACCAAGGCGACGACCCGUAGCCGGCCUGAGAGGGCGGUCGGCCACACUGACACUGACAUACGGGUCAGACCCCUACGGGAGGCAGCAGUCGGGAAUUUUGGGCAAUGGGCGAAAGCCUGACCCAGCAACGCCGCGUGAAGGAUGAAAUCCCUCGGGAUGUAAACUUCGCAAGAAUGGGAAGAAUUAGCGAGCGCUAAUACCGCUCGUGAUGACGGUACCAUUUGUAAGCUCCGGCUAACUCCGUGCCAGCAGCCGCGGUAAUACGGGGGGAGCAAGCGUUGUUCGGAUUUACUGGGCGUAAAGGGCGCGUAGGCGGUCAGCACAAGUCAGUUGUGAAAUCUCCGGGCUUAACUCGGAAAGGUCAACUGAUACUGUGCGACUAGAGUGCGGAAGGGGCAACUGGAAUUCUCGGUGUAGCGGUGAAAUGCGUAGAUAUCGAGAGGAACACCUGCGGCGAAGGCGGGUUGCUGGGCCGACACUGACGCUGAGGCGCGAAAGCCAGGGGAGCGAACGGGAUUAGAUACCCCGGUAGUCCUGGCCUUAAACGAUGGAUGCUUGGUGUCUGGGGUUUUAUAGUCCCCGGGUGCCGCAGCUAACGCGUUAAGCAUCCCGCCUGGGGAGUACGGUCGCAAGACUGAAACUCAAAGGAAUUGACGGGGACCCGCACAAGCGGUGGAGCAUGUGGUUCAAUUCGACGCAACGCGAAGAACCUUACCAGGGCUAGAAUGCCUCUGACAACCCCAGAGAUGGGGCCUCUUAGGGAAACCUAGGCGGAGUGCAAGGUGCUGCAUGGCUGUCGUCAGCUCGUGUCGUGAGAUGUUGGGUUAAGUCCCGCAACGAGCGCAACCCUUAUCGAUAGUUGCUAGCGGUUCGGCCGAGCACUCUAUUGAGACUGCC